rnacentral:rRNA from 1 species
UUAAGCGACUAAGCGUACACGGUGGAUGCCCUGGCAGUCAGAGGCGAUGAAGGACGUGCUAAUCUGCGAUAAGCGUCGGUAAGGUGAUAUGAACCGUUAUAACCGGCGAUUUCCGAAUGGGGAAACCCAGUGUGAUUCGUCACACUAUCAUUAACUGAAUCCAUAGGUUAAUGAGGCGAACCGGGGGAACUGAAACAUCUAAGUACCCCGAGGAAAAGAAAUCAACCGAGAUUCCCCCAGUAGCGGCGAGCGAACGGGGAGCAGCCCAGAGCCUGAAUCAGUGUGUGUGUUAGUGGAAGCGUCUGGAAAGGCGUGCGAUACAGGGUGACAGCCCCGUACACAAAAAUGCACAUACUGUGAGCUCGAUGAGUAGGGCGGGACACGUGGUAUCCUGUCUGAAUAUGGGGGGACCAUCCUCCAAGGCUAAAUACUCCUGACUGACCGAUAGUGAACCAGUACCGUGAGGGAAAGGCGAAAAGAACCCCGGCGAGGGGAGUGAAAAAGAACCUGAAACCGUGUACGUACAAGCAGUGGGAGCACGCUUAGGCGUGUGACUGCGUACCUUUUGUAUAAUGGGUCAGCGACUUAUAUUCUGUAGCAAGGUUAACCGAAUAGGGGAGCCGAAGGGAAACCGAGUCUUAACUGGGCGUUAAGUUGCAGGGUAUAGACCCGAAACCCGGUGAUCUAGCCAUGGGCAGGUUGAAGGUUGGGUAACACUAACUGGAGGACCGAACCGACUAAUGUUGAAAAAUUAGCGGAUGACUUGUGGCUGGGGGUGAAAGGCCAAUCAAACCGGGAGAUAGCUGGUUCUCCCCGAAAGCUAUUUAGGUAGCGCCUCGUGAAUUCAUCUCCGGGGGUAGAGCACUGUUUCGGCAAGGGGGUCAUCCCGACUUACCAACCCGAUGCAAACUGCGAAUACCGGAGAAUGUUAUCACGGGAGACACACGGCGGGUGCUAACGUCCGUCGUGAAGAGGGAAACAACCCAGACCGCCAGCUAAGGUCCCAAAGUCAUGGUUAAGUGGGAAACGAUGUGGGAAGGCCCAGACAGCCAGGAUGUUGGCUUAGAAGCAGCCAUCAUUUAAAGAAAGCGUAAUAGCUCACUGGUCGAGUCGGCCUGCGCGGAAGAUGUAACGGGGCUAAACCAUGCACCGAAGCUGCGGCAGCGACGCUUAUGCGUUGUUGGGUAGGGGAGCGUUCUGUAAGCCUGUGAAGGUGUGCUGUGAGGUAUGCUGGAGGUAUCAGAAGUGCGAAUGCUGACAUAAGUAACGAUAAAGCGGGUGAAAAGCCCGCUCGCCGGAAGACCAAGGGUUCCUGUCCAACGUUAAUCGGGGCAGGGUGAGUCGACCCCUAAGGCGAGGCCGAAAGGCGUAGUCGAUGGGAAACAGGUUAAUAUUCCUGUACUUGGUGUUACUGCGAAGGGGGGACGGAGAAGGCUAUGUUGGCCGGGCGACGGUUGUCCCGGUUUAAGCGUGUAGGCUGGUUUUCCAGGCAAAUCCGGAAAAUCAAGGCCGAGGCGUGAUGACGAGGCACUACGGUGCUGAAGCAACAAAUGCCCUGCUUCCAGGAAAAGCCUCUAAGCAUCAGGUAACAUCAAAUCGUACCCCAAACCGACACAGGUGGUCAGGUAGAGAAUACCAAGGCGCUUGAGAGAACUCGGGUGAAGGAACUAGGCAAAAUGGUGCCGUAACUUCGGGAGAAGGCACGCUGAUACGUAGGUGAAGCGACUUGCUCGUGGAGCUGAAAUCAGUCGAAGAUACCAGCUGGCUGCAACUGUUUAUUAAAAACACAGCACUGUGCAAACACGAAAGUGGACGUAUACGGUGUGACGCCUGCCCGGUGCCGGAAGGUUAAUUGAUGGGGUUAGCGCAAGCGAAGCUCUUGAUCGAAGCCCGGUAAACGGCGGCCGUAACUAUAACGGUCCUAAGGUAGCGAAAUUCCUUGUCGGGUAAGUUCCGACCUGCACGAAUGGCGUAAUGAUGGCCAGGCUGUCUCCACCCGAGACUCAGUGAAAUUGAACUCGCUGUGAAGAUGCAGUGUACCCGCGGCAAGACGGAAAGACCCGUGAACCUUUACUAUAGCUUGACACUGAACAUUGAGCCUUGAUGUGUAGGAUAGGUGGGAGGCUUUGAAGUGUGGACGCCAGUCUGCAUGGAGCCGACCUUGAAAUACCACCCUUUAAUGUUUGAUGUUCUAACGUGGACCCGUGAUCCGGGUUGCGGACAGUGUCUGGUGGGUAGUUUGACUGGGGCGGUCUCCUCCUAAAGAGUAACGGAGGAGCACGAAGGUUGGCUAAUCCUGGUCGGACAUCAGGAGGUUAGUGCAAUGGCAUAAGCCAGCUUGACUGCGAGCGUGACGGCGCGAGCAGGUGCGAAAGCAGGUCAUAGUGAUCCGGUGGUUCUGAAUGGAAGGGCCAUCGCUCAACGGAUAAAAGGUACUCCGGGGAUAACAGGCUGAUACCGCCCAAGAGUUCAUAUCGACGGCGGUGUUUGGCACCUCGAUGUCGGCUCAUCACAUCCUGGGGCUGAAGUAGGUCCCAAGGGUAUGGCUGUUCGCCAUUUAAAGUGGUACGCGAGCUGGGUUUAGAACGUCGUGAGACAGUUCGGUCCCUAUCUGCCGUGGGCGCUGGAGAACUGAGGGGGGCUGCUCCUAGUACGAGAGGACCGGAGUGGACGCAUCACUGGUGUUCGGGUUGUCAUGCCAAUGGCACUGCCCGGUAGCUAAAUGCGGAAGAGAUAAGUGCUGAAAGCAUCUAAGCACGAAACUUGCCCCGAGAUGAGUUCUCCCUGACCCUUUAAGGGUCCUGAAGGAACGUUGAAGACGACGACGUUGAUAGGCCGGGUGUGUAAGCGCAGCGAUGCGUUGAGCUAACCGGUACUAAUGAACCGUGAGGCUUAACCUU